rnacentral:rRNA from 1 species
UGGGGGAUAUUGCACAAUGGGCGCAAGCCUGAUGCAGCGACGCCGCGUGAGGGAUGACGGCUUUCGGGUUGUAAACCUCUUUCGUUACCGAACAAGGCUCUGCUUUUUGGUGGGGUUGAGGGUAGGUGGAUAAGAAGCGCCGGCUAACUACGUGCCAGCAGCCGCGGUAAUACGUAGGGCGCGAGCGUUGUCCGGAAUUAUUGGGCGUAAAGAGCUCGUAGGCGGCUUGUCGCGUCUGCUGUGAAAACGCGGGGCUUAACUCCGCGCGUGCAGGGGGUACGGGCAGGCUAGAGUGUGGUAGGGGUGACUGGAAUUCCUGGUGUAGCGGUGGAAUGCGCAGAUAUCAGGAGGAACACCGAUGGCGAAGGCAGGUCACUGGGCCAUUACUGACGCUGAGGAGCGAAAGCAUGGGGAGCGAACAGGAUU